CACAUACAUAUACACACACACACACACACCAAUUUGAGCUCCAGACACUCGACGGCAAAACACCGCUGUUCGGGAGUUUGAAAAUGGCCGCCGCCACGUGUUCGUUUCCCGAAUGGCGGCCACCCCCGAGAACAAAGGACGGCUACUCAGCUUGUCAAUUACCCGUUCGCAACAAUGUUGCAAAGGGUAAUUGAAGGCACACUUCACACAAGGGAGGUCUGACUGUUCGGUAGUUUCAUUCUAAGGGAAUUAAACUACCUAACAUUCAGACGAAUACAAUACAGUUAACACAUAGAACUUUGCUAUUUUACACGAAUGCAUUCAAAUACAUGUAAUUCUCAGGACAUUCCAG